rnacentral:rRNA from 1 species
AUACAUGCAAGUUGAACGCUUCUUUCUUAUCGAACUUCGGUUCACCAAGAAAGAGGAGUAGCGAACGGGUGAGUAACACGUGGGUAACCUGCCCAUCAGCGGGGGAUAACACUUGGAAACAGGUGCUAAUACCGCAUAAUGCUUUUUCUCACAUGAGAGAAAGCUGAAAGGCGCUUUUGCGUCACUGAUGGAUGGACCCGCGGUGCAUUAGCUAGUUGGUAGGGUAACGGCCUACCAAGGCAACGAUGCAUAGCCGACCUGAGAGGGUGAUCGGCCACACUGGGACUGAGACACGGCCCAGACUCCUACGGGAGGCAGCAGUAGGGAAUCUUCGGCAAUGGACGAAAGUCUGACCGAGCAACGCCGCGUGAGUGAAGAAGGUUUUCGGAUCGUAAAAACUCUGUUGUUAGAGAAGAAACAAGGAUGAGAAA